rnacentral:rRNA from 1 species
GAUGAACGCUGGCGGCGUGCCUAAUACAUGCAAGUCGAGCGAACAGAUGAGGAGCUUGCUCCUCUGACGUUAGCGGCGGACGGGUGAGUAACACGUGGAUAACCUACCUAUAAGACUGGGAUAACUUCGGGAAACCGGAGCUAAUACCGGAUAAUAUAUUGAACCGCAUGGUUCAAUAGUGAAAGACGGUUUUGCUGUCACUUAUAGAUGGAUCCGCGCCGCAUUAGCUAGUUGGUAAGGUAACGGCUUACCAAGGCAACGAUGCGUAGCCGACCUGAGAGGGUGAUCGGCCACACUGGAACUGAGACACGGUCCAGACUCCUACGGGAGGCAGCAGUGGGGAAUCUUCCGCAAUGGGCGAAAGCUUGACGGAGCAACGCGGCGUGAGUGAUGAAGGUCUUCGGAUCGUAAAACUCUGUUAUUAGGGAAGAACAAAGGUGUAAGUAACUAUGCACGUCUUGACGGUACCUAAGCAGAAAGCCACGGCUAACUACGU